AUUUCAUGGAGAAAAGCUGAAACAAUUUUCGGUCACUAAGGAGUUGCUUUUUUUUUUUUCCCAGUUUGCAGAGUACCCUGCCUCCCCACGUGUGUCAGCAGUGUGUGCAGCCACGUGCAACGAGGUUUCUAGAGGCAAGAAAAAAAGAAUGCAGAGUGAAUUAAAAUAAAAAGCAACUAAACAAAAUCACUCCAAAGUUUUGAGGAAAAGAGAUUUCCUUUUUUGUUUUUAUACUUUCACUGAAAUGUAAUUGUAGUGUUUAUGGUUUUGUUUCAUUUUGUUUUUAGAGCACUAUAUUUUAUUAAAGAGUUUUCACCACUUAAAAAACACUGAGCCUUAGAACAUCUGUCAUGAGAAAGCAGGUGUCAGAAACCAUUUCCUUCCCUACAGAAAUGGGUCUUUCUAGAUCCCGUUGUUUAUGAGUUGGAGGAAAUAAUGUCUUAUUCUCCCUUUAUCUCCCUCCUGCCCCCUUCUCCCCCACAAGAGCAAACUACUUUUGGCAACCUAUGGAAGUGUAUAUACCAAUUUGUGAUGUCUUUUUCCUUGAGGAUAGUCCAAGCUUCAGAUUCAGUGUCUGAUGUCAGUGUUCAUGGUUGACAUUUAUUGUAAAACCUCAGACGUUAGAUAUACCUGCCUGUUUUCACAGACUGCAGAGCAACAGCCUUUCCUGGAGAACACAGCCUCCCCCUGCGCUGACAUCCACAGCAAAGAGCAGUGCUGUGCCUGCCUCCAGCUUGUCCCUGCCUAGUGUAAACAGAAGAGGAGUGUGACUACGGUACUCACCUGUCUGGGACAGGUCCCAGCCCCCCUCAGGAGUUCAGCUGGAUCAGUUGGGAACCAGUGUCUCACACAUCAGAGAAACCAAUGAAUGCAACUGUGGGCAAACUGAGCUUUGCAGGCAAGGGAGGGUUUGUCUGUCCACUCUGGAAAGCGAUGCUCUUCUCACCUGCAAAGUCCCUACUGCAUUCAACAUGAGAGGUGCCUGAACCUUGUGAGUCACUGUCAGGGAGCAGCAGGAGUGGGGUGCUGUGCUGGGACAGGCGAGCCGGAGCAGGGGUGGCAACAGAACAUGAAGGCAGUGCCCUACCCAACACUGUGCAGUCCAGUGGUAAAAGGGGAGCAGAACAGAUCCAGUGACAGUGAUAAGAGUCCAGCAUGCAAGCCCAUAGUGAUGAGGCAGGAAGGUCAAGGGAGAAAGUCAGUCCAUGUGUUGGGGUCAGGGAAAUCCACGGCCAGGCACAGGAGUAGCUGACCUGGCUCAGGCAGAGACCAAGGGUGAUGCUUUGUGAUUAGGUGACAUUCCCAAAGGAGAAGGAGGAAGUUCCCAGUGAGGUGUUUUCCUUUUCCACCUCUUUCUCUUCAAGGCCAGCUCUACAACUGUGCUGUCACCAAGCUGGCCUUGAGCACAGGCAGCUGAACUGCUGAGGGGUGUGCUCCAGGCCCUGGCACUUCUCUUGCCUGUCGGCAAGCCGAGCUUGCUGACCAGUUUCCCCAUAUCUCAAGAGAGAAAAUCCAGCAAGUUGUGGCAAGGGCAACGCAUCCAGCCAGCCUCCUGCCUCCACUUCAGCACAAGAGGAUCCGCGAUCAGAAAGCGCCUCUUGCAUUGACUAUAAAAGGAGGCUGAACCAGCUGCAAAGCAAUGCCAUCUGUGAGGCCAGCCUCUGCAUUUGGUUGGAGAAAUCCCCUGCAGAAGACUCCCCCUUCCUCCUUGACCAGCCACCCAAGGGGCCGGUGUGGCAGAUGCAAAGGGUGUCUCUGCGCCCGUGGAAGUUUAUCUUCGCCUGCAUAACGGCCCGGCCAGCGAGAGGCAGGGGAGCCUGCAGCUGCGUGCCAUGCAGCCCACGCGGGGUCACUGCAGCCCGCACUUCAGCAGCGCCACUGCGCAGGGAGGCCGCACGCUCCCUGCUUGAGCAUGGAGCGGCUCAGCUGCCAGCAGAGGUGGUGUGCUGAGGCUGCCCCAAGCAUGGGCUUUGCAGAGCUGGGUGGGGAUUAGACGAGGGCCAGCACGGCUCAGGGGAGUUUACAGCCAUAGACCGUGCCCUCAACACCAAAGAUCAGUCCGAGGAUGAGCUUUGUGUCCAGCCCUGCUCAUAGUGGCUCAUGUCGGAACAUUUCUGGAGGCCACCCCAGGUCUGGCUGACCUCUGGGCAAGGCCCCGAGGCACACAUAGGGGUAGGGGAUCACUCGCCAAGUCAGUGCCUCUGCCGCACAGCAGCAGUCCAUGCCUGGGCAGUUUAUAGCUUAGGCCAUUUUCUCACCCCUUCUCUAUUGGCCAGAGCAACCAGAGAGGCUGGGAACUGGCUGUGUAUCUCCAGGCAGGAUGUCUGCCCUCAGCUUGGGCAGGGCCAGCACAGCCCCAUCCAUGGAGCAGAGUGGCAGAGACGUGCAGGCACAUCAAGGCACCUAGACACCCCCAUGCUGAUUCAACUGGGAGUAGGGGGAGGCUGUAGCCCCUUCCAUCUCCUCAUCCUCUUUGGGGUCAUCUGCCUCAAGGCAAUAGAGGCCCCCUCUAUAGCCCCUUUUGUGGCUCCUGGAGCCAUAGGGUCUGCCUGAGAGUGAGGAGGUAGCGCACACUGCAGGGACAGCCAAGCCCAGUAUCUGGGUACUGUUUACAGUUGGAACACCUUUGUCUUCCCCAGCAGGAACCAAGGCUGGGUCAUUUCAGGGGAGGUUGUACCACAUGCUGGAACAGUCUAAUAGCUCAGUGGCCUCAAAAGAGAGGGGCCCCACUCCUCCUUGCUUUCCACAUUCCCCCUGCAGCCCGUGUGGUCACCGCUGUUGCUUGUGAUCUGAAUGAAGCACCAGAGCUGGCACAAGGUGGGAUGGAGGAAAUGGGGCUGUGAGUGGAGAUGAGCUGACACAGGCCAUUAGUUCUUCUUUGGGGAAGCAGCAUCUUGUGGGAACAACCUUUGUCUUGCGCUUCUAAAUGGCUUCGUGGGCUUGGGCCCGGAAUCCUGCCAGUUCCCAAGCCUGGCAGCUGAGGUUCCAGUCCCUUGUGUUUCUCUUUCUGACCAGCGGUUUGGCCCGGCAGCCCAGCACUGGGCUCCAGCUCACACCUGCGCUCUGUGAGAAGCCAAACAGCACAUAGCAGCUGCUGGCUAAACCCAAGGGCUGGUGGCCCAAGGAGACACCUCCUCUCCAAUAACAGCAGGUGAAGCAGGCACUACGAUACCAAGAAACCUCAGUUUGAAACUCCGAUGUGCAUGUGAACACCUGAGCCCUCCUGCCCUCCUCCCUGGGGACCCUCAACACCAGCAACCAGACCUCUGGGCUCUCUCUGCUUGCGUUUUCGCAGAAAGACUUCAUAUUCAACCUUGUGUUUUCACAUCUCCAUAUUCCUCCUCCAGACAGCAGUGAUGAAGGCAAUCCGCCAAGGAAGGGACUCAAGCUCCCUUUACCAUAUCAGCAAACACCAAACACUUCAGACAAAGUGGAAUGGCUUUGAUGGUGAGGAGGAGGAAGCUCUGGGUGGAGGCUGCAGCAGGAGGAGCCCCUGGAAGCUGUAGGUUCAAACUUUCCUGGACUGGGCAGAGUCUUGAAAUGGUGCCCCCUUCUUUGAAAGGAAAACUGACUGAUAAGCAACUCAAUGCUACAAUAUGUCCCAAAAGUUUUCCCUCAUGGCCACCUGGAAGCAUUCAACUCCAGCAGCUCUAUAGAGGGUCCAUCCCUCCUCAAGGAUGGAACCUAGAUGGUUCCUCAACCACCUGCACCUGGUUCUCUCCACCAUUAAGUGUGGGUGACAAAUAUUACAGGACAACAGGAGCUCUAAAAGCAGCAACACUUACCAAGCAAAUCACCUUUAUCCAUUUUAUCCUUGAUGAUUGUCCCACUGACGAUCUCUGGGUGUGCCAGAGCCUGAGCGCUGCUCCGCAGAGCCCCAGCUCAGUGCCAGCUCCACUAGCCAGUUCUGCUGAAUUUGCCACUGGUUUGCCGUGCCCACAUCAAACCCAUGCUGGGGCAGCAUCAGGCCAGGGACUCUCCCAUCCGUGCCCCUCUGCUAUGCUGCAGGGCUCCUGAUGCAGGCUUCCCUGUUCCUCUGUGUCUUGCCACAGGGAUGAUUUAGUGCAAACCUUAACGUGAAGGUUAGGCUAAAAACUGGUCUCCCACAGCCUGGGAUUUUGGGGGAUGAGACACAACUCCUGGGCACCUCACAUUUACAAGGGGAGGAGAGACUGCAAAAAGCUUCUCUACCAAGAGGGGUGGUGGGUGAGCAGCAUGGGUGGCCCUGUGGGCACCACUCCUGUAACACUGGGGUGCCAAAGCGGGUCCCCCCCCCGCCACUCCAGCUCAUCCUUCAGAGAGGUCCCAAAGCCACCCAUCGUGCUCCAGCAGCUGCCCAGCCUCCUGAGGUGCUGGGGUGGAGUGCAGAGCUUAGACCUGAGGGCAGGUUGCUGGGAGCUGGCAGAAUCGCUUUUACCAUUUCUGUGUGCAGAUCCACAGGACACGAUGGAGGAAACAACAAAAAACUAACGCCAGGCCCUGUGCAAAGGCUAUGCCUAAAACAGCCAGAAAUUCACCACCACCCCCCAGAGCAUGCAGCACUGCAAGGGUGCAGACCCCUUGGGACACAUUACCCUUCCGCAACCAGUGGCAGGUCUAGGACAAGCUGGAUGUGCUGCCUCUCCACAGGGUGCGGAGGACAGGUGAGCCGUGUCCCAAGCCACUGUCACACACAGGGUCUCACUGCGCUGCAGGUGGGAGCUGAGAACCAGCCACAAGGUUGUAAUGAGCCUGGCUGGCACUCAAUUUUUUAAGCGGUGCAGGCAACAAGACGGGCCAAGGUGAGUGCAGGAGUAAGCCCAAGCCUCCAAGCCUGAGCUGAAGCCCUUGGUUUGUGGGCUUUAUUGAUUUGGCCAAAUCAGCUCAUUCCACAGAAAAGCCUUGGGGAACACCUAAAUGUUAGGCUGCCAACCUCCACCUAGGAAAGGGCUGUUUGAGGUUAAAAGACUAUUGCUCUUCCUUCUGCUGUUGUUGCUGCCUGUCCUGAGAGCUACAGGUCCACUCCUUGUCUGUCCUGACAGCACAGCUGGUGAGAAGACCACAAUUUGGCCAUCGCAGGUGAUUGCAUACUGCUGGGGUGACCGGAGCAGCCCUUACUUGCUUUGCUCUAAGUGCACCGCCUUUUCCCCGUGCCACCAGGAUAUGAUCAGCUCCAGAGCAUCGGCAGCACUGGUGAGACCCAGGACAGUAACUUGUCACCACCCGACUGAAGUGGCAAAGGUAGCACUUGUGCUGCAGCUCCACCACAGGAUGUGACCGGUGUGAGUCUGGAGCACCAACACAGAUGGCUCCUAGCUCCUUCUUGGGGUGGGGAGGAAAGAUCCAGAAACUCCUCCAAUCUGAACAUAAAAAUGCCCCAGCUGGGUCAGCCCUGCAGCCUGUCUAACCACAUCUCCAGCAAGAGAACAGACUAUGCAGAGGAAGCAGGUGCCUGCGACACCCGCAGCUGCUGGAUUAGGGAUAUUAGCAGUACAUCCCUGUCUUAUCCUCUGACUACCCGUUUGUGGAGCUAUAGCCCAUAAACUUGCCUAAUUCCCUUCUGACCCUGAAGGGCUGCAGAAGGUAACUGCUCCCGUAUAAAGUAUUCUCCUUUAUCUGCUUCCCCGUGAUCUCUUCCCAGUUUCACUGAGCGCCCCACAGUAGCUCCCUGAGAUUUACAAACAACAGAAAUAGUCCACAGCUUGCUUUCCAAGUGCUGAUGUCAUGCUGGUUCCCAAAUAUUAUUCAUGAACACUGACAUCCAGGCUGAAACCUGCAGCUCCAGGCAGGCACAAUCACGCAUCAGAUUCACAAAAAGAACCAGGGACAACUAUGGAGAUUGUAUUUAUUAUUAUAACAGAAGAGAGGCUGCUUUACUGAUCUGUAUUUACAAAUCUGUUGGCAAAGAAAGUAAUAUCCAGUGUAAUUUAUUAGCCUAUUUUACAGCCCUGGCAAGAAGCAUUCAUUUGUAAUAGCAGCAAAUGCCUAUGGUUUGAUUGCCUGCUACAGCUAAGUGCAAGGAAUAACAUGGAUCACCAGUCUGGUGGCUGGCUGCAGACACACGCAUCUGCAGCCCAAAGAAGGGGGCAAGCACAUGGCUGCUCCAGCCCUCAUGGGGCCAGGAUGUGGCACCCUGAACCUGUUCAACGGUUCAAAUUUUGGCAAAACAUGGCAAAGCUGGUAACCGCCUGCCUGUCUCUGUGUUUCUCUGAAUGUGGCCCCAAAUCUGAAGCACAAGGUGCUCAGCACUUUGGAAGGCGAAACAGAGCUGAACUCCUUGGAAGCACUCAGACAGGAUGAGUGUGUGAAGCAGAUCCUUGCACAUUUUUUGGCAUGUUUGACAGAGCUAAUCCUGACAAAGGAGCAAGGUUUCCUGGACCACAGAAGCAUCUGGUAUAACAAGGGGGACCACGACUCUCGGCUCAUUUGGGCACUAAAUGGAUUUGCACUGUGGAGCUCUCUGAGCAAAGUUGUGCCCUGGAAACCCCACUCACAGAGAGAGAUCCAAACAGACUCAGGGCACCCCCUGCACAUGGCACGUUGUGUCCAUGCCUUUGUUUCAGGUUCAGACAUCAGCUUGAAACCUCACUCCUUGGCUCCCCACUUGGCUCCUGCAAUCCAAAGAGGGCGAUUCCAGGUCCUCACUUGAAAGGGAGGGGGUGCAGAAAUGCAAAUGCAACCUUGGAUGCUACCAGUAGACUUAGCAUUGCAUGAAUGAUCCCAGCAUGCAGCUUUUUGCUGCAGAUCUGCCUCCAGCACAGAAAACACUUCAAAUGAAAAGAAUAAUGCCAGGAUGCCACAGAAUUAGAGAUUGCUGCUUGCUAAGGAACAUGCAACAGCAUCUGGAGGCUGCAGGGAAAUCUAUGUGCUGCCCCUUGCUGUGCCUCACUUCUUGGUGGCACAUGGAGAGCUGUGGGGGUUUAAAAGCAAAAGAGAGGACACUGAGCUGCCAGCCUGACAGUACCCUAGGCAGGCUCCACUGCACCUCAGCUGUUUGGACCUGCCUCUUCCCUUCCCUUCCUAUACCCUCUGCAGAUCCAGUGAGAAUAUGGUGGGAAAAGCACGGGUGCCACAGCUGACUCCAGGCAAGAGGCAAUGCUGCUGCCCUGCCUGGAAGGGCACACCUCAGCACAGGAGCACUUCUUCCCACUGGUGGUCUUCCCUGUUUUCUUUGGACCAGGGCUGAACCAGAGGGUGGGCAGAGCUGUCUGAAGGACCUGCUGCCAGGAAAAGGGGGUGCUGGAGCCGCGGAGGCCGCUCUGAGCACCACUGGCACAUUCUCAGCUGUUCUUCAGGAAAACUGGUGUCAGCUCAUGUGGCACGUGCAACAAGGGCCUGGCAGAAAGGAGCUACGAGGCUGGGUGGGGUUACCCCUCGAGGACAUGGCCCACAUUAGGAGGAUGCCAACAAGGCUGUUGCACCUGUAGGUGGCCAGGUGCACAGCCUUCCUCUUGUCCCCAGGCCCCAUGGUGUAGGUGGUGCUGGUUUAGCUCCACGCAAGGCUGGUCCCACAGGCUGACCACACUGCUGUGCAGCUCUGAAACUGCCUAAAGGAGAGGGCGAGGUGGAUGCUGUGCUGAGCUGGCCUGCCCGAGCUCCCAGGCACAGGAUGUCUGGCUGGCUGGCCACCCAGCAGCAGAGGCUCAGACGUCUCUCCUUGGGCUGCAGCAUGCUUCCACUCAUCAGGGCAGUCCCAGGAAUCCCUCUGACUCAGCCAACCCCCUGCACCUUCACAUCCAUCUACCAACAGCACCACGGGGUGCCAGAACCACCCUCACGCUUCCAACCAACAGUCUGCAGAGGUAAACCAGGCUGGCUCCAUAGCAGCGGAGUUAUCCCCUGUGAGGCAGUUAUGUCCCCCAGGACCAGCUUGUGCCACAAUACAGGAGUGAUGUCCUCCUACCUGAAGCCAACUCUUCCUCCGGAAGGGAGAUGGAGAAUCUCACUGCCUCAGGCAGCUGUCUCAUGGAUGUCACAGCCCUUUCAAAAUGCAGCCAGUUCUGUAGCUCCAAGGAGGAAGCCUUCCCCCCCUCUGACACACACUGGCCUGGCAUGUCCAAGGACUUCCAGGUCCUGCUGCUGAAAUGCCCAAGCCUUUCAAGAAUGUCUAGUCCUUGUCCUUGAAGGGACAUGUUGAGAGACGUUCAGGGGCUAACCCGGGGUGUGAAAGCAGCAAGGACAACAGAAGAAAUCUAAGCAGAGAGGAGAAGACUUCAGGCACCCAAUGACUCCCCAGGGCAAUGUCCUGGACCCCAGGGCCAGUGCCUCAAACCAGCCUUUUGAUGAAGCUGGUGUCCAAGUGCACUAUCAGCAUGCGAAGAAAGGACAUUUCCUUGCGUGUGUUCUCAAAGAUAAUGCGAGGGUCGUCAGACUGACAGCGCAGGCAGUUAGGGGCCAUCACCAUGGCCAGGUUGUUCACGUCCAUCUUCGUUCUGCCCACAUUUGAUGGCUGAGCAAAGAUCUGCAGAAAGUGUAUGAGGUAACACAGCACCAGUCUGUUGAGCUCCGGCAAAAGAUGCACCACAGCCACGGCAGCGUCAGGGUUCUCGUAGUUACUGAUACACUCUUUGUAGAACUGCUGGGGGAUCACAGGCUCCUCC